GCGGCGGACGGGUGAGUAAUGCCUAGGAAUCUGCCUGAUAGUGGGGGACAACGUUUCGAAAGGAACGCUAAUACCGCAUACGUCCUACGGGAGAAAGCGGGGGAUCUUCGGGCCUUGCGCUAUCAGAUGAGCCUAGGUCGGAUUAGCUAGUUGGUGAGGUAAAGGCUCACCAAGGCGACGAUCCGUAACUGGUCUGAGAGGAUGAUCAGUCACACUGGAACUGAGACACGGUCCAGACUCCUACGGGAGGCAGCAGUGGGGAAUAUUGGACAAUGGGCGAAAGCCUGAUCCAGCCAUGCCGCGUGUGUGAAGAAGGUCUUCGGAUUGUAAAGCACUUUAAGUUGGGAGGAAGGGCAUUAACCUAAUAC
rnacentral:rRNA from 1 species